AGUUAAUGAACUUGAAUAAGUAUUUGUUUUGAAAACAAAAAAUAGAAAUCUAAAUUUUCUAUUAACUU
rnacentral:tRNA from 1 species